rnacentral:rRNA from 1 species
GUAUCUCUGUAGAGUCUGCAUAUCAAUAAGCGGAGGAAAAGAAACUAACUAGGAUUCCCUCAGCAACGGCGAGUGAAGCGGGAAGAGCUCAAAUUUGAAAUCUUCAAGGUUUUACCUUGACGAAGUUGUAGUUUAAAGAAGUGUUUUCUGUUGGUGUUUUGGUAAAAGUUCUUUGGAAUAGGGACAUCAUAGAGGGUGAGAAUCCCGUAUAUUGACCUAUGAUUUGUCCACUUUAUGAUACACUUUCAAAGAGUCGGAUUGUUUGGGAAUGCAGUCCCAAAAUGGGUGGUAAAUUUCAUCUAAGGCUAAAUAUUGGCGAGAGACCGAUAGCGAACAAGUACCGUGAGGGAAAGAUGAAAAGAACUUUGAAAAGAGAGUUAAAUAGUACGUGAAAUUGUCAAAAGGGAAGCGUUUGACACCAGUGUUGUUUUCUGAAAAUCAACCUUUGUUAACUUUAUGUAUGUUUGUUUAGACUUUAUCAGCUAACUUUCAUAUUCUAUUGUUUGCAAUGGUGCACUUUUCAGUUUACAGGUCAACAUCAAUUUCUUUUGUUGUAAAAAAAAUUAGAGGAAGGUAGCUUAUUACUUCGGUAUUAAGUGUUAUAGCCUCUAAUCUAUGCAAUCGAAGGGAUUGAGGACUGCAGUGUAGGCUAUUUGGCUAGAUACUCAGGUGCUAUGUGGUAGCAUUAUGUAGACAACUUGUUGACUGCAUAUUGUCUAUUGCAUACUCGCUUGUACUAUCUUACCUACGCUUAGGAUGUUGACGAUCAGCUGAGCGCG